UGCUCCGGUUUAGCGCACGCAUGCCUAUUGGUAUUAUUAUGGAAUUCCAAUAGUACGCAAUACACUUGCUACAGACUCAUGCACAUUGGAAAAAUGAGUAGCCGAUUGUCGCAUGCGUCGUAGGGAGAUAAUCGCUGAUUUGUGCAUGCGCAGUUGAUUGGAGGAUCGUGAACGCACUUUGGAGACACGUAUAUAGAGUUGGUGGGACCACUCUAUAUGUCACUCACUAGAAAAUAAGGAAAUAGAGGUUGGGAAGAGUUAAGAUCGCAACGGUAGGAGUCAAGCUUAAACUGACAGAUGCUUAAUCCAUUAAAGGGACCACCAUGUUCUGGGCCAUCCUCAUACAGUGCAAAGUGUUCCUCAUGGAUCCAUGAUGUCUAUCAAAUACCUGAUCCACGCAAUGGAAGCCUGAUACAGACACAACCAUGAUGUUUAAUCAACCAAAAAACAGCACAAUAACUUGUUAUACAGUUGCUGCACACAAAUUCUCCUGGGCCACAUACACAGAAAUAAAGUUGUUCUGAAACAA